GGUUAAGUUAGAAAGGGCGCACGGUGGAUGCCUUGGCACUAGGAGCCGAAGAAGGACGGGACUAACACCGAUAUGCUUUGGGGAGCUGUACGUAAGCGUUGAUCCAGAGAUUUCCGAAUGGGGGAACCCACUAUCUUUAGUCGGAUAGUAUCCUUACGUGAAUACAUAGCGUGAGGAAGGCAGACCCAGGGAACUGAAACAUCUAAGUACCUGGAGGAAGAGAAAGAAAAAUCGAUUUCCUGAGUAGCGGCGAGCGAAACGGAAAGAGCCCAAACCAAGAAGCUUGCUUCUUGGGGUUGUAGGACACUCUAUACGGAGUUACAAAAGAAAGUUAUAAAUGAAGCGGUCUGGAAAGGCCCGCCAAAGACGGUAACAGCCCGGUAGUUGAAAUGGCUUUCCCUCCAGAGUGGAUCCUGAGUACGGCGGAACACGUGAAAUUCCGUCGGAAUCCGGGAGGACCAUCUCCCAAGGCUAAAUACUCCCUAGUGACCGAUAGUGAACCAGUACCGUGAGGGAAAGGUGAAAAGCACCCCGGAAGGGGAGUGAAACAGUUCCUGAAACCGUGUGCCUACAAGUAGUUAGAGCCCGUUAAUGGGUGAUAGCGUGCCUUUUGUAGAAUGAACCGGCGAGUUACGAUUUGUUGCAAGGUUAAGCGGAAAAAGCGGAGCCGUAGCGAAAGCGAGUCUGAAUAGGGCGCAUAAGUAACAGGUCGUAGACCCGAAACCAGGUGAUCUACCCAUGUCCAGGAUGAAGGUAAGGUAAUACUUACUGGAGGUCCGAACCCACGCACGUUGAAAAGUGCGGGGAUGAGGUGUGGGUAGCGGAGAAAUUCCAAUCGAACUUGGAGAUAGCUGGUUCUCUCCGAAAUAGCUUUAGGGCUAGCCUCGAGGUAAAGAGUCAUGGAGGUAGAGCACUGUUUGGACUAGGGGCCCUUCUCGGGUUACCGAAUUCAGAUAAACUCCGAAUGCCAUGUACUUAUACUCGGGAGUCAGACUGCGAGUGAUAAGAUCCGUAGUCGAAAGGGAAACAGCCCAGACCACCAGUUAAGGUCCCCAAAUAUAUGUUAAGUGGAAAAGGAUGUGGGGUUGCUUAGACAACCAGGAUGUUGGCUUAGAAGCAGCCACCAUUGAAAGAGUGCGUAAUAGCUCACUGGUCGAGUGACCCCGCGCCGAAAAUGUACCGGGGCUAAACAUAUUACCGAAACUGUGGAUGAACCUCUUUAGAGGUUCGUGGUAGGAGAGCGUUCUAAGGGCGGUGAAGUCAGACCGGAAGGACUGGUGGAGCGCUUAGAAGUGAGAAUGCCGGUAUGAGUAGCGAAAGAAGGGUGAGAAUCCCUUCCACCGAAUAUCUAAGGUUUCCUGAGGAAGGCUCGUCCGCUCAGGGUUAGUCGGGACCUAAGCCGAGGCCGAUAGGCGUAGGCGAUGGACAACAGGUAGAGAUUCCUGUACCAGUGCUAAUUGUUUAACCGAUGGGGUGACACAGAAGGAUAGGGAAUCGCACGAAUGGAAAUGUGCGUCCAAGCAGUGAGUGUGAGAAGUAGGCAAAUCCGCUUCUCGCGAAGCAUGAGCUGUGAUGGGGAAGGAAAUUAAGUACGGAAGUUCCUGAUUUCACGCUGUCAAGAAAAGCCUCUAGGAAGAGUAGUACUGCCCGUACCGCAAACCGACACAGGUAGAUGAGGAGAGAAUCCUAAGGUGAGCGAGAGAACUCUCGUUAAGGAACUCGGCAAAAUGACCCCGUAACUUCGGGAGAAGGGGUGCUCUAUUAGGGUGCAAGCCCGAGAGAGCCGCAGUGAAUAGGCCCAGGCGACUGUUUAGCAAAAACACAGGUCUCUGCAAAACCGUAAGGUGACGUAUAGGGGCUGACGCCUGCCCGGUGCUGGAAGGUUAAGAGGAGUGCUUAGCUUCGGCGAAGGUACGAAUUGAAGCCCCAGUAAACGGCGGCCGUAACUAUAACGGUCCUAAGGUAGCGAAAUUCCUUGUCGGGUAAGUUCCGACCCGCACGAAAGGCGCAACGAUCUGGGCACUGUCUCAACGA
rnacentral:rRNA from 1 species